rnacentral:lncRNA from 12 species
GAGUCCUGGAUGUGUCCAGCCCAUCGUCACCAAUCCUCUGUGGGUUUGCUCUGACAGCUUCCAUGUGGGCUCCAGAGAAGGGGUGGAUUGUCAAAGGAUUGGCUCUGAUUCGCUGGGCAUUGACAGAUUUUGAAGGGGGCGUGAGGUGGUCUGAGCUAGCACAAUGCUUCCAGAGGGUGUCUCCUUCCUCCUUCAGUCUGGCCUUCACCUAGAGAGAGGUAUCUCUUUCCUCUUUAAGAAGGAAUAAAAGUUCUUGCAACAUGGAGAGAAGAAAAUCA